rnacentral:rRNA from 1 species
GACGAACGCUGGCGGCGUGCUUAACACAUGCAAGUCGAACGGAAAGGCCCUGCUUGCAGGGUACUCGAGUGGCGAACGGGUGAGUAACACGUGGGUGAUCUGCCCUGCACUUCGGGAUAAGCCUGGGAAACUGGGUCUAAUACCGGAUAGGAGCCAUUUUUAGUGUGAUGGUUGGAAAGUUUUUUCGGUGUAGGAUGAGCUCGCGGCCUAUCAGCUUGUUGGUGGGGUAAUGGCCUACCAAGGCGGCGACGGGUAGCCGGCCUGGGAGGGUGGACGGCCACAUUGGGACUGAGAUACGGCCCAGAAUCCUAAGGGAGGCAGCAGGGGGGAAUAUUGCACAAUGGGCGCAAGCCUGAUGCAGCGACGCCGCGUGGGGGAUGACGGCCUUCGGGUUGUAAACUCCUUUCGCGAGGGACGAAGCUUUUUGUGACGGUACCUAGAUAAGAAGCACCGGCUAACUACGUG